ensembl:snRNA U6 U6 spliceosomal RNA
GUGUUUGAUUCAGGAACUCUUACAGUCAAACAGGAAUGAAUCAGAGAAGAGUAGCAUGGCCCCCUGUACAAGGACGACACAGAAAUUCGGGUGGAGUUCCACAAUUUA